AUCAACUGCUCGAGUCGCGUUCUGCAGCGACCGUCCUCUGUGCCAUACUGCUCCUUCAGGGGAGGAGGCCUGGAGCUACUACAAGGUAAAUACAUCGCUAGACACCAAGUCGGAUAGAUUUUACCACAUUCAUAGCUAUUAUUAUAUAUAGUUAAGCUCUGUUAAAUUCCAAACAAAAGGUGAAGUUGAGAGAAAUCGUGCAUCUAUAAAAGGGUAGUUCACGGAGAUACAGCAAAACAAAACUAAAUAUAUUUGGCAAUCAAAGCUCAAACUAAAUUUUCUAUCUUGCUAUAGUCAUCCGUGUAUAUCAUGGUAGUACUUAAUGAAUUCAAUAAUAACUUAUUUUGAGCAGGUUAUGAUACCCUUGGACAAAAUAAGCACAGUCAGCUCGGAGAUCAUGCUGGAAAAUCCAUCAAGGAAGUACAUUCAAAUUGUCAGCACCGAUGGGCACGACUUCUGGUUUAUGGGUUUCGUUAAUUUCGAGAAAGCCUUGCAAAAUCUAUCAGAGAGCGUGUCGAGUUUCAAGGAAGCAGGAAUUGCAAUUCAACCAGUUGUUGCUUAGCCAAUGAUUGCAUUUGGAGUUGAAUCCUUCAAAAUUUUGAUUUUCACUGUUUCUAGUGGAUUUAUUGUUUGUUGCCUGAAGGGAGCUUUCCUUUAGUCUUCCUCUUGUCAUUCUUUUAUUCUUGUCGCACCCUACAUCGCGACAACCUUAAAAAUUUAUCAUGAAAUAAAAUGGAUUUCUGGUAUCCUGUUUUUUAAUGGGGAACGGUUUUGUUUAAGGAGUCGCCACCUAGUAUUAUGGUCACUAGAAACCCUAACUGGUCAACAGAGAUUCUAUGGUACGAGACUGGUUACGUAAAAGGAAAGAUACUAUCACCCCUUAAACGUCCUGCCUGAGGCAGGCUGCAUUGCUGGUUUUGUCAUAAAUUGCUAACAUUUUGUUGGUUUAUGUUAUGAUGGUUUGUGUGUAAUAUUCCUGACUCUGACGCUAGUGAAUAUUUAACUACAGAUAUUUCCAACUCUGGCGUUGGUAAAUAUUACGCGGCUAUAAAAACAAAAUAAAUCUAAAUCAGUAUUUUUUAUUCCUGACUCUGGCGUCAGUGAAUAAACAAAUCAAAUAAAUUUAUUUUUUACGCAUACACAUUUUUUUAUGUAACUAAAUAAAAGUAAAAUACAAUAAAAUAAAAUAAAUUUACAUCAAUAUCUUUAUUCCUGACUCUGGCGUCAGUGAAUAAACCAAUAAAUUUAUUUUAUUUUUGCAUUCAUAUUUUUUAUUUUUAUGUAAUUUAAAUAAAAUACAAUGAAAUAAAUUUGAAUCAAUAUUUUUAUUCUAACUCUAGCAUCAAUGAAAAAAAAAAUUCAUAUUUAUUUUUUUAUUUAUACAUACACACAUCUUUGUUUUUUUGUUUUGUUUUUUUGGACUGGGCUGGACCCAGCCAGCCCGGCCCGGGUCACUGGCCCAAGCCAGUGACCCGGCUGGGCAAAAUGUGGAGCACGCGUGAAGUGAUUUCACGCGUGCAUUCACUGUGCGAAGGUAGUACAGUGUUCUUUGAUCAUUUAAUUUCAAAGAACGCAAAGGGAUGAAGAGCUGGCGUACCUGCUUCUAGAGUGGCGAAGAUGGCUGCAACGCUGGUGGUGACUUUCGCCUGCUUGAUACCUUUACUUCUGCCUUCCCUUUUUGCUCCUGUUUCCACGGUCUGCUUUCGUUUUCCAGCAGAUUUUGAGAUAAUGAAGGAACCGAGAACGAAGGUGCCGGCUUCUGUGGAUACUGAUUUUUGGGUCGUUUUCUGCAGGGAUGAAAGCAAUGGCAGAACCCAUUAUCCUCUCCGUGUUGUUCCUCUGCUUUUCUUUUGUUUCAAUUCGUGCUCUGCCUUCCCCUGUUUUCUGGUUUUUUUCUCUGGGUUUUGCUCCAGUUCUCUCCUCUGGUUCUUUUUUUUCCCCCCUGGUUCUGUUUUUUUCGUCUAGGUUUAGCUUGAGUUUUUCCUCGGUUUCUCCUUCAAACCCCCCUGCUUUUCUUCCUCUGUUUUCUGGGUUUUUCUUCUCUGGUUUUUCG
rnacentral:lncRNA from 1 species